GCUCACUGCAACCUCCACCUUCUGGAUUCAAGCGAUUCUCCUGUCUCAGCCUCCUGAGCAGCUGGGAUUACAGGUGCAUGCCACCAAGCCCGGCUAAUUUUUGUAUUUUAGUGAAGACAGGGUUUCGUCACGUUGGCCAGGCUGGUCUCAAACUCCUGACCUCAGGUGAUCCUCUGGUGCAUGUUUUAAUGGGGCCAAAAGGAGAUGACACAAGGGCAAGGGGAACCAUAGGCAUCUGUGCAACUCCUGAGUUGCAUGAAAAGGAAGACAAGUUGUUCCUCCUUUUCUCUCUCUCUCUCGCCUGCCGCCAGGUAAGAUGUGCCUGCUUCCCCUUCCACCGUGAUUGUAAGUUUCCUGAGGCCCCCCAACCCAUGCAGAACUCUGAGCCAAUUAAUGCUUUUAUAUUUA
rnacentral:lncRNA from 1 species